rnacentral:rRNA from 1 species
UGGGGGAUAUUGCACAAUGGAGGAAACUCUGAUGCAGCAACGCCGCGUGAGGGAAGAAGGUCUUCGGAUUGUAAACCUAAGUAGUCAGGGACGAAAGAAAUGACGGUACCUGAAGAGUAAGCUCCGGCUAACUACGUGCCAGCAGCCGCGGUAAUACGUAGGGAGCGAGCGUUGUCCGGAUUUACUGGGUGUAAAGGGUGCGUAGGCGGGCUUGCAAGUCAGACGUGAAAUACCGGGGCUUAACUCCGGGGCUGCGUUUGAAGCUGCAGGUCUUGAGUGAAGUAGAGGCAGGCGGAAUUCCUAGUGUAGCGGUGAAAUGCGUAGAUAUUAGGAGGAACACCAGUGGCGAAGGCGGCUUACUGGACGGUAACUGACGUUGAGGCUCGAAAGCGUGGGGAGCAAACAGGAUUAGAUACCC